rnacentral:tRNA from 1 species
GGGAUUGAGGUGUCAGCGGCAGCAUACUCGGCUCUUAACCGAGGUGGUGACGGUUCAAGUCCGUCCGAUCCCAC